UGCCAGCAGCCGCGGUAAUACGGAGGGUGCGAGCGUUAAUCGGAAUUACUGGGCGUAAAGCGUGCGUAGGUGGUUUAUUAAGUCAGAUGUGAAAGCCCCGGGCUUAACCUGGGAACUGCAUUUGAAACUGGUAAACUAGAGUAUGGUAGAGGAAAGUGGAAUUUCUGGUGUAGCGGUGAAAUGCGUAGAUAUCAGAAGGAGGGAUACCAGUGGCGAAGGCGGCCUCCUGGCUCGACACUGACACUGAGGCGCGAAAGCGUGGGGAGCAAACGGGAUUAGAUA
rnacentral:rRNA from 1 species